GGGCAGGGGGCGUCUUACCAUGCAGUCGAGCGGAAGGCCCUUCGGGGUACUCGAGCGGCGAACGGGUGAGUAACACGUGAGUAACCUGCCCCUGACUCUGGGAUAAGCCCGGGAAACUGGGUCUAAUACCGGAUACGACACCUCCUGGCAUCGGGUGGGUGUGGAAAGUUUUUUCGGUUGGGGAUGGACUCGCGGCCUAUCAGCUUGUUGGUGGGGUAAUGGCCUACCAAGGCGACGACGGGUAGCCGGCCUGAGAGGGCGACCGGCCACACUGGGACUGAGACACGGCCCAGACUCCUACGGGAGGCAGCAGUGGGGAAUAUUGCGCAAUGGGCGAAAGCCUGACGCAGCGACGCCGCGUGGGGGAUGACGGCCUUCGGGUUGUAAACCUCUUUCAGCAGGGACGAAGUUGACGUGUACCUGCAGAAGAAGCGCCGGCUAACUACGUGCCAGCAGCCGCGGUAAUACGUAGGGCGCAAGCGUUGUCCGGAAUUAUUGGGCGUAAAGAGCUCGUAGGUGGCUUGUCACGUCGGGUGUGAAAGCUUGGGGCUUAACUCCAGGUCUGCAUUCGAUACGGGCUGGCUAGAGGUAGGUAGGGGAGAACGGAAUUCCUGGUGUAGCGGUGAAAUGCGCAGAUAUCAGGAGGAACACCGGUGGCGAAGGCGGUUCUCUGGGCCUUACCUGACGCUGAGGAGCGAAAGCGUGGGGAGCGAACAGGAUUAGAUACCCUGGUAGUCCACGCUGUAAACGUUGGGCGCUAGGUGUGGGGACCUUCCACGGUUUCCGCGCCGUAGCUAACGCAUUAAGCGCCCCGCCUGGGGAGUACGGCCGCAAGGCUAAAACUCAAAGGAAUUGACGGGGGCCCGCACAAGCGGCGGAGCAUGUUGCUUAAUUCGACGCAACGCGAAGAACCUUACCAAGGCUUGACAUCGCCCGGAAACCCUCAGAGAUGGGUGCCUCUUCGGACUGGGUGACAGGGGGUGCAUGGUUGUCUUCAGCUCUUGCCUGGAGAUGUUGGGUUAAGUCCCGAACCAAGCCAACCCUUGUUCAUGGUGCCAGCCCCUCCUUCGGCGGUGGGGGGGACCAUUUGAAACCUCCGCGUUUACUUGGACUAUACGGUGGUGCUUUGGUGAUGUGUUCGCAUCUUGUCUGUCCUUGAG
rnacentral:rRNA from 1 species